rnacentral:rRNA from 1 species
GACAGAGGUGCCAAGCGUUAGGCGGAAUCACUGGGCUUAAAGCGUGUGUAGGUGGAAGCGUAAGUCAGAUGUGAAAGCCCCGGGCUCAACCUGGGAAUGGCAUUUGAGACUGCUCUGCUCGGGUGCGGAAGAGGGAAGCGGAAUUUCCGGUGUAGCGGUGAAAUGCGUAGAUAUCGGAAGGAACACCAGUGGCGAAAGCGGCUUCCUGGUCCGACACCGACGUUCAGGCACGAAAGCGUGGGGAGCAAACAGG